AGGCCACGAGCUAUAGAUCAAGUAGAGAGUGAGAGGCUAAUUAAUAUUAUGACUAAGUGUUUUUGCAACUUGGAGAGCACAAAAUUUUUUAAAAAUAAAAAUUGAUUGAUUUCUAAUCUUUCUUAUAAAUAUUGAUGAAUAAUAAUAAUCUAAAUUAAUAGAUUUUCAUUUUGAAUUUCUAAUUUUCUUAGUUAACACU
rnacentral:lncRNA from 1 species